AUUUAUAUAGUUUAAAAAAAACAUAGUAUUUUCAUUACUAAAUUAGAAAUUUUCUUAUAAAUA
rnacentral:tRNA from 1 species